GCCUGAGUGGCUUAGUUGGUUAAGCAUCCAACUUUGGCUCAGGUCAUGAUCUCACGGUUUGUGGGUUCGAGCCCCGCAUUGGGCU
rnacentral:tRNA from 1 species